rnacentral:tRNA from 1 species
UCUCUGGUGGUCCCGUAGUUAAGACAUUGCGCUCCCAAUGCAGGGGGCCUGGGUUUGACCCCUGGCUGGGGAA